GACGAACCGAGCGAACGUUGUUCGGAAUCACUGGGCUUAAAGGGCGCGUAGGCGGGCGGUCAAGUCAGGGGUGAAAGCCUCCAGCUCAACUGGAGAAGUGCCUCUGAUACUGAUCGUCUCGAGGGGGAUAGGGGCGUGCGGAACUUCCGGUGGAGCGGUGAAAUGCGUAGAUAUCGGAAGGAACACCGGUGGCGAAAGCGGCGCGCUGGAUCCCUUCUGACGCUGAGGCGCGAAAGCCAGGGGAGCAAACAGG
rnacentral:rRNA from 1 species